UACGUAGGGUGCAAGCGUUAAUCGGAAUUACUGGGCGUAAAGCGUGCGCAGGCGGCUUUGCAAGACAGAUGUGAAAUCCCCGGGCUCAACCUGGGAACUGCAUUUGUGACUGCAUGGCUGGAGUGCGGCAGAGGGGGAUGGAAUUCCGCGUGUAGCAGUGAAAUGCGUAGAUAUGCGGAGGAACACCGAUGGCGAAGGCAAUCCCCUGGGCCUGCACUGACGCUCAUGCACGAAAGCGUGGGGAGCAAACAGGAUUGAGAUACCGUGU
rnacentral:rRNA from 1 species